rnacentral:lncRNA from 1 species
CCCGCCUGCCCUUUCCCCUCCAGCCUCUGCCGGUGCUGCUGCGCCUUGCGGAGCUCCGAACACGUGCGCCUCCGGCCUAAGUUACAGAGUUUUGAGGGCAGGGACUCUGAGCUGCACACAUGUUCUCUGUUGGCUGACUAACCUGGAGUUUCAUUGCAGAGAGGUCAGCUAUGGCAGAUGGAACUGCAGACAGGAGUCCUGUCAUCCAGACUGGAAUGCAGUGGCAUGAUCUCUGCCCAGUGCAACCUCCACUUCCCAAGUUCAAGCAAUUCUCCUGCCUUGGCCUCCCAAGUAGCUGGGAUUACAGGUGUGUACCACUACGCCUGGCUAAUUUUUGUAUUUUUAGUAGAGAUGGGGUUUCACCAUGUUGGCCAGGCUGGUCUCAAACUUCUGACCUCAGGUGAUCUGCCCGUCUCCUGACCUCAUGAUCC